AUUGAACGCUAGCGGCAUGCUUUACACAUGCAAGUCGAACGAGUGGCGGACGGGUGAGUAAUAUAUCGGAACGUGCCCAGUAGCGGGGGAUAACUACUCGAACGAGUGGCUAAUACUGCAUCCUAUUGGAGUGGCCGAUAUGGGAUUAGCUAGUUGGUGGGGUAAAGGCUCACCAAGGCAACGCUCCGUAGCUGGUUUGAGAGGCCGACCAGCCACACUGGGACUGAGACACGGCCCAGACUCCUACGGGAGGCAGCAGUGGGGAAUUUUGGACAAUGGGGGAAACCCUGAUCCAGCCAUCCCGCGUGUAUGAGAAGGCCUUCGGGUGGUAAAGUACUGUUGGCAGAGAAGCGGUAUCUGCAGAAUAAGCACCGGCUAACUACGUGCCAGCAGCCGCGGUAAUUC
rnacentral:rRNA from 1 species